AGGUGAGGGCAAAUCCCCAGUGAGCUCUGGAAUGUUCAGUUGGAUGGGACAUUAGUGGAGGAAAAGAGAAGGAUCCCUCGAUCGCCACUCUUUCCCCCCUUUUUUGCUGGAGGAAUGGACUGCCUUCAAGUCGAUUCUGACUUAUGGCAACCCUAUGAAUAGGGUUUUCAUGGUAAGCGGUAUUCAGAGGGGGUUUACCAUUGCCUCCCUCUGAGGCUGAGAGGCAGUGACUGGCCCACGGUCACCCAGUGAGCUUCAUGACUGUGGGGAUUUGAACCCUGGUCUCCCAGGUCGUAGUCCAGCACUCUAACCACUACGCCACACUGGCUCUCUUUUGCUGGAAGGAAGCUGCCUUACAAUGAGUCACACCCUUGCUCUAUUUAGCUCAGUAUUGCCAACACUGACUGGCAACAGCCCUCUAGGAUUUGGGGCCAGAAGCCUUUCCCACCCCUACCUGGAGGUGACAGGGAUUGAAUCCGGGACCUUCUGCAUGCAAAGCAUGUGCUCUACCACUUGAGCUAUGACCCCUUCCCUAGGAAUGAGAAUGAGUAGAAAAAGAAACCUAGGAAACUCCCAUAUACCAGGCCAGGAUUUUUAUCUAGCUGGCCCAGUGUUGUCUACUGGAGGGAUGGGGGAAUUUGUUGCCCUACAUGAAGUUGUUGGGCUCCAACUCCCUUCAUCCCUGCCUAUUGGCCAUGCUAGCUGGGGCUGCUGGGAGUGGGAAUCCAGCAACACCUGGAAGGCCACAGAUUCCCUGUUCCUUGUCUGCUCUGAUUGGCCAUGGCUCUCCAGGAUAUCAAGCAGGGGAUGUUACCAUCACCUGCUUAAAUAAAGAAGGCAGGGAUUGAACCUGGGACCUGGGAGUAACUAACCUGCUCAGGGGCCUUGUCAAAUUACAUAGAGAUGUGUUGUUGUUAUAUGUCUUCAAGUCGAUUACUUAUGGCAACCCUAUGAAUCAGUGACCUCCAAGAGCAUCUGUCAUGAACCACCCUGUUCAGAUCUUCUAAGUUCAGGUCUGUGGCUUCCUUUAUGGAAUCACUCCAUCUCUUGUUUGGUCUUCCUCUUUUUCUACUCCCUUCUGUUUUUCCCAGCAUUAUGGUCUUUUCUAGUGAAUCAGGUCUUCUCAUGAUGUGUCCAAAGUAUGAUAACCUCAGUUUCAUCAUUUUAGCUUCUAAUGAUAGUUCUGGUUUAAUUUGUUCUAACCCUCAAUUAUUUGUCUUUUUCGCAGUCCAUGGUAUGCGCAAAGCUCUCCUCCAACACCACAUUUCAAAGGAGUUGAUUUUUCUCUUACCCACUUCUUUCACUGUCCAACUUUCACAUCCAUACAUAGAGAUUGGGAACACCAUGGUCUGAAUGAUCCUGACUUUGGUGUUCAGUGAUACAUCUCUGCAUUUGAGGACCUUUUCUUUCACAUAUAGGUACUUGGGGCAAAGAGGAAUGUGAUGUUCCUAUAUUAAUGUAUAUAUGGUAAGUGUUGGUUGUUUAGAAGAUACAUGGUAAGUGGAGUGAAAGAGGGGGAGUGAAUGGGCAGUAGAAUGCGAGAUGAUUGGCUGAGUGUUUAAAAUGGCUGAAUGUAUAAAAGGAAGAGUGAGAGUGGAAUCUGGGGGGGAGAGAAACCAUAAGAGAGAGCGGUCCGGACUGGUGGAGUCCCUGGUGGUGCCUAGAGACAGGCAGUAACCAUGAGCAGGUAGGAACCUGACAGGGAGAGCCAGGGAAGGACGCAUCACAUGUGGUGGCAGUAGCGGUGGGAUACGAACAACAGAGAAUCCAGAUACGAACCAAAGAGAGUCCCAAAGACACGUGGUGACAAAGGAGACUACGUCACAGGUGUUGGCUGUAGCAGUGAGAUACGAAUACUAGACAAUCCCUAAUAGUUGUGUGGCAAACAGAAAUAACAAAACAAGAUUACUUGUGAGAGUGACUGGCAAAGAGUGUGUGGCAAAGAGUGAGUGAACUCAAACACCAUGGCUGAAUACAUAAAAAUGAAAAGAGAGGAGCUGGUGGAGAAGUGCAUAACAUUCAAUUUACCUCACGAGGGUAAAGGGGUAGAUGAAUUGAGGGUAGCACUUAUAGGAUUUGCAACUGCCCAGCAAAAACAACCUGUCAGGGAAGAGACCCCAGAAGGAUAUUUAAGCAAUCCCGCUUAUAUAGAGUACUUGAGAGAGAAGUUAAGAUGGGAGGCUGAGGAAAAAGACAAGCAGAGGGAGUUGGAAGCUGAGAGAUUGAGGGUGGAAACUGAGAGAAUGAGGAUGGAGGCUGAGGAAAAAGACAAACAGCGGGUCUUUGAGGCUGAGGAAAAAGACAAACAGAGGGAGUUGGAAACUGAGAAGUUGAGAAUGGGGUUUGAGGAGAGGGAGAAGCAACGAGCAGUGGAUGCCGAAUUACAAGUAGAAAAGUUAAAAUUUGAAAGAGAGAAGUUUCAUUCUGAUGAAACAAGAAAGGACAGAGAUGGAGCAAAAAUAAAAAUUACUCCAAAGGACUUUGCUGUCUGUGAGCCUGGUCAAGAUCCUCAAAUUUACCUCAGCACCUUUGAAAAAGCAGCUCAGUUGUGGGAGCUACCUGAAGAUAAAUACAUGCAGUAUUUAUCAAACCUGAUUAAAGGGGAAUUGGCUGAGGUAUACCAAUAUUUCCCCUCAGAUAGGCCCGUCACCUAUGCUGAAUUCAAAGAAGCAGUGUUUAAAAGAUUCAGACUGGGGCCUGAUUAUUUUAGAAAGCUUUUCAGAAACUGCCAGAUACAGACAGGGAGGUCUUUCGUGGAGCUGGGGGCAAAACUGAUGGACAUAUUUGGGAAAUGGCUGACAAGUGCAAAAGCUCAGUCUGUGGAGGAGGUGAAAAACCUCAUGAUAUUGGAUCAAUUAUACCAUCAGUUACCACCAGAAAUAAGGCUCCUGGUCAAAGACCGUUCCCCUGCAUCGGUGCAGGAGGCCGCAGAGAUGGCGGAUCACUUCGCCUCCAACAGAACUGGCUGGGUGGGGAAAACAUCAAGAGAUUUUAAACCCAGACCAUAUAAUGCUGGCAGAAGGGAUGUGGUACCACAGUGAGUGAGUCCUCCAGUAAAAUCUGAAGGGCACAGGACACCCCAGAGUGGAUCUAUGUACCCUAAAAGUGAGGAGAAAUUAUGCUACAAAUGUGGUAGACUGGGGCACCUACGUUUUCAAUGUGAGGUUGCCAACCCCAUUAGUAAUCCUGCUCAGACAAGGACAGUGAAAACAGAGCCCAAGGCUUUAGAAACAGCGAAAAAGGUUCAGUUCUGCCAGAUAAACUGGACAGAAGUAACAGACCUUGAUUCAAGUCUGAGAGAGGAAGUGAGUGUACAAGGGGCAAAUUAUUGGGCAUUGCUUGAUACUGGUGCCGCUCAGACAUUACUGAGGCCAGAUUUAAUAAAAUCUGAGGUAAUAUUACCUCAGGAAACUGUGACUAUCCAAGGAGUGAGGGGUCAACCAGAAAGUUUGCCUGUGGCCCUGGUGGAUAUGACUUGGAGAGGCCGAGAGGGCCGAUAUAAAGUAGGCAUUAAUGCCCAGCAACAAGAACCAGUAAUACUGGGAAGAGAUGUAAUGGGCGCCCAAGGAAAGAUCUAUGUAGUGACCAGACAGCAAAUUGGCAGAGAAAAAGAAGCCAUAUUAAGGGGGGCUGAAACAAACAGGGUGGAAUCUGUUAACCAGCCUCAGGUCACCAUAGCAACCACUAGCAGGUCUGCUGAAGGAGACAAACUGUAUCAAGUGGUCUCUGGGGAAGAAGCAGAUCAAUUCAGGGAAGAGCUGCAUAAAGAUAUAAGUUUGAAGCAGGUAAAGGAACAAGCUCUGACCCAACAGAUUCCUUUCACUGACAAACUGAGGAAUCAAGUUGUGUGUGAAAAUGGGAUUUUAUAUAGACUGUGGAUGCCUGCUGAGAGAAAGGGUGAAUGUGAACCAGUGAAACAAAUGAUGGAAGUGGUGAAAGAGAAUUUGAGUCAAGCUCAGCAGAAGCAACGUUACUGGUAUGACAGAACAGCCAGGGAACGUGUGUAUAAUGUGGGAGAUAUGGUUAUGGCGUUCAUACCCAGGAAACAUGACAAAUUACAGGCUAACCGGGAAGGACCAUAUACCAUCAGAGAAAGGCUUGACACAGUGACGUAUGUAAUCACCACAGACCAAUUAAACAAAAGCAAAGUGCUUCAUGUAAAUAUGUUAAAGCCUUACCAUACCAGGGAUGCACAGGUGUUGGAAGUUACCUUAUUCCCUGAGGGAAGUGGGCCUGAACUUCCAGAUUUGGUACAGGAAAGCAAAGACAGAGGAGGGGUAGAUCAAGUGGAAUGGUCAGAGGAGGUGAAGGAGGAAGUAAAAGAGGAGAUUCUGAGAGUUUUGAAAACCUAUAGGAAUCUCUUUAGCAACAAACCUGGCCGAACCAGUAUAGUUAUACAUUCCAUUGAUACUGGAGAUCAUGCCCCAAUCAGAUCUGUUCCGUACCGUGUGAAUGGGAAAGUUUUGAAUGAGAUCAAAAAGGAGGUGGAAGAUAUGCUGGAAUUAGGAGUGAUCAGGGAAUCCAUCAGUCCCUGGGCCUCAAGUAUUGUCCUGGUUCCGAAAAAAGAUGGAACGACAAGGUUUUGCAUUGAUUAUCGGCUAAUCAAUAAAAUUACUGUCCCAGAUGCAUAUCCUAUGCCUAGGGUAGACGCAAUGUUAGAGUUAUUGGGGGCAGCAACCAUUAUCUCUACGUUAGACCUCUGUAAAGGAUUUUGGCAAAUGGAAUUAGACGAGCAAUCCAGAGCCAAAACUGCCUUCAGUACACCAGAUGGGUUAUAUGAGUUUGUGACCUUACCCAUGGGACUAAGGAACUCACCAAGUUCAUUUCAGAGGCUAGUCAAUACUGUGUUGCGAGGCAUGUCAGAUUUUGCAGUGGCCUAUAUCGAUGACGUGGCCAUUUUUAGCAAGUCGGUGCCUGAGCAUGUCCAACACCUGACAACAGUACUGGAGGCCUUAAGAAAAGCAGGCCUCACAAUAAAAACUAAGAAAUGCCAGUUUGGACUAAAGGAAGUAAUCUAUUUAGGACAUAAGGUGUGGAGUGGGAAAAUCACCCCCUUAUGGAGCAAGGUGGAGGCAAUACAAGCGUGGCCGAUCCCCUUAACCAAAAAACAAGUAAGGGCAUUUCUGGGUGUGGCUGGAUUUUAUAGGAAGUUUGUGAGAAAUUUUGGGGAAAUAGCAACCCCCUUGCAUGAAUUAACAAAGAAGAAGUGUUCUGAGCGUGUGGUAUGGACGGAUGAAUGUCAGAAGGCUUUUGAUCUACUGAAGCAAGCCUUGUGCCAAGGACCCAUAUUAAUAGCACCAGACUAUGAGAAACCAUUCAUCGUGGCUACAGAUGCAUCGGACCUCGCACUGGGAGUUGUCUUGCACAGGAGAGAGAAGGCACCAGACAUCCAGUGGCGUACCUGAGUCGCAAGCUGACGCCGAGGGAGAAAAACUAUUCGUCGGUCCAGAAGGAGUGCCUAGCGGUCGUGUGGGGACUGAACAAGUUGUGCCCAUAUGUGUGGGGACGAAGAUUCACGGUAACUAUGGAUCAUCGGGCCUUGUUAUGGUUGCAGACUAUGAAAAACCAUAACACUAUGCUGCAGAGGUGGUCCUGGGCCCUACAGGACUAUCAAGUGGACUUCCAGUUCAUAAAAGGCAAGGACAGUGUACUGGCUGAUGGACUUUCCAGGCAAGUGGCUGGGACUGCAGUGACGUGACCAGACAGAGGAACAAAGAAAGACAUUUUCCCCAUAGAGACUUUUAUUUGUUAACUUGACGUAUAAAUCCUGGAACAGGAAUUAUACUCUGCUGUUGUUUAAGGGGGGGGGAAAUGUGAUGUUCCUAUAUUAAUGUAUAUAUGGUAAGUGUUGGUUGUUUAGAAGAUACAUGGUAAAUGGAGUGAAAGAGGGGGAGUGAAUGGGCAGUAGAAUGCGAGAUGAUUGGCUGAGUGUUUAAAAUGGCUGAAUGUAUAAAAGGAAGAGUGAGAGUGGAAUCUGGGGGGGAGAGAAACCAUAAGAGAGAGCAGUCCGGACUGGUGGAGUCCCUGGUGGUGCCUAGAGACAGGCAGUAACCACGAGCAGCAUUCCCUUUGCUCUCGGAUCUUCAUGAAGAAACGGUUUGGUAGCCAAGAGGGGAGCCAUCUUCCUUGAAACGCAA